UAUCUGUAAAGUAGAGAGGAGUCCACAGUUACACUAAGUGUUUCAGUGGGAAACUGCCAACACUAGUUUGAUGAAAUUCAUAAUGUCAUUGGUAACAAACUAUAGAGGAAAGAUGUAUAUACUAAAUGACAAGGAGAUGAAUGCUGAAGUUUCCAUGUGCAUUCAAGUGUUUGGUGUUUCUACUCUUCUUCCAUUUGAGAAGACCAUAUAUAUGAUAUUGCUGCCAUUAUAAUGACAUUCUUCAACAAGGAAGAUGCGUCUUUUUAUGGGCAUUGGCACCAUUUACAGGAUCCACAUUUAUGCAAGUCUGUUCUGUAUUUCAUUUAAAUAAAGCCUCCAUAAAAGCUUUGAUCAUUAAUUAUUUAUCCAGCUAGAUUCUUUUACCUUCCCUUUCCUUCUCUUCCCUUCCCUUCCCUUCCCCUCUUUUCUUCAUUUGAAAACAGUUCCCACUUUGUAUGGUUAUAAAAAAAUAAUAAGAUAAAUGUUUAUCAGAGAGCCUUUCCUUCAGCCCUUCUCUAGCGAUGACCACUCCAC
ensembl:lncRNA